GCCGUACUAGAGAAAUGGUUAACUCGUCGGCCUUCUAUCAUUGUUGCUUAACAAUAAUAGCCGAAGAUUCUCGGUUCGAGUCCGGGGUACGGUG